GCGUCGCCUGUUCGCCUGAACUCGUUAGCUCUGACGACUCGUCAGGAACCGGAUAUUUUGUAAACAACUGAGCGAAGGGUUAAUUAAUUUUGCCCACUUCUUCUACUUCCUGCGUUUCCCGACCAUUUGGCUUAUCGGGAACAAUCGUCCAAUUGUCACGAACCGCUUUGAGCAGUGGACCGAUCACGAACAAGAUUAGCCGAUAUCUCUCGGUUAGGAAUUAUAGAAAUAAUAGAGGCGGCAUCUGGAAGUGUCAGGGACAAAAUAAACUAUAAUUAAACUAUAAGUAAGUUGUCCUCUUUGUAAAUUAUUGUACACCUUUUAAAGCUCAAUGAAUAAAGAAAUAGUUCAAAUGCAA